rnacentral:rRNA from 1 species
UACGGAAGGCAGCAGUGGGGAAUAUUGCACAAUGGGCGAAAGCCUGAUGCAGCUAUGCCGCGUGUAUGAAGAAGGCCUUAGGGUUGUAAAGUACUUUCAUCGGGGAGGAAAAAACAAAACUAAUAAUUUUAUUUCUUGACGUUACCCGAAAAAGAAGCACCGGCUAACUCCGUGCCAGCAGCCGCGGUAAUACGGGAGGGUGCUAGCGUUAAUCAGAAUUACUGGGCGUAAAGAGCACGUAGGUGGUUUUUUUAAGUCAGAUGUGAAAUCCCUGGGCUUAACCUAGGAACUGCAUUUUGAAACUGAAAUACUAGAGUAUCGUAGAGGGAGGUAGAAUUCUAGGUGUAGCGGUGAAAUGCGUAGAUAUCUGGAGGAAUACCUGUGGCGAAAGCGGCCUCCUAAACGAAUACUGACACUGAGGUGCGAAAGCGUGGGGAGCAAACAGGGAUUAGAUACC